GAGAAAGGUCUACACUACUAAGCCAGCUCACUGUAGACUUGGGACUCACUAAUCAGCCUUGGCUCUCUGUGGACACUCAGAUUGUUUGCUGAAUGAACAUAAGAUACUGGAGAGAAGGCUGCUAGUCUCCAAAGCUCAUGGAAAGUGUUUCUUCCCGACCAACUGCAAAAGAGUAGAUACACCGUGCUAACCUUUGUGAUGAAAAAGAAAAAUGGGAAAAAUAUAUGUACCUGCCUAUCUUUCAAAAAAAGAGAAAUUUAGGAGGAAUAAACCAGUAAAGAAUGAAGUGAGAUGAAGUGGGUCACCUAACAACAAGAAGGCGGGAAACAUGGUGGAAGGAAUCAGCAUGGACGCAGAAGAAUUCUGAAAUGAUUUUAGAUAUUUCACAGUAUUGAGCAAAUCAGUAAAUACAUCGAUGUUGUUGUGAGCCAGGGUUCUCACUGUGGAGAAAAAAAGUUGUAAAUAUAGAAAGAGAGAAGACAUGGAUGUAAGAAGAAUGGAUUGCAAUUGGAGGUAUUGCUGUGGACUCAUAACUUCUGAAAUGUGUGCAGGCUGCCAUGCUGUGAAGAGCCCUAUGGGGAGGACCAUUUGGUGAAGAUCUGAGAGAAACUCCCGGUCAACAGCCAGUGAAGCACUGAAUCCUGCCAACAACCAUGUGAGAGCCAGAAAGUGGAUCCUCCCCACAUUGAGCCUUCAGAUGAGACCACAGCCCUAGCCUACAUAUUAAUUAUAGCCUGGUCACAGCACCCAGCUAGGCCAUACCCAGACACUUAACCUACAGAAACUGAGAUCACAAGUGUUUGCUAUUUUCAACUGCUACAUUUUGGAGUAAUUUGUUAUCCAUCUAUAGAUAACUAACACACUGUGUUCAUUGACAAAAUUGGAAGCUGAAUAAAGUAUUAUAUCAAUGUUAAAUUUAUUGAAGU
rnacentral:lncRNA from 13 species